UACGUAGGGUGCGAGCGUUAAUCGGAAUUACUGGGCGUAAAGCGUGCGCAGGCGGUUCGUUAAGUCAGAUGUGAAAGCCCCGGGCUCAACCUGGGAACUGCAUUUGAAACUGGCGGGCUUGAGUGCGGCAGAGGGGGGUGGAAUUCCGCGUGUAGCAGUGAAAUGCGUAGAGAUGCGGAGGAACACCUGAGGCGAAGGCGGCUUGCUGGGCCUGGUCUGACGCUGAGGCGCGAAAGCGUGGGGAGCAAACAGG
rnacentral:rRNA from 1 species